CUGGGAACUGCGUUUGUGACUGCAUCACUCGAGUACGGCAGAGGGAGGUGGAAUUCCGCGUGUAGCAGUGAAAUGCGUAGAUAUGCGGAGGAACACCGAUGGCGAAGGCAGCCUCCUGGGCCAGUACUGACGCUCAUGCACGAAAGCGUGGGGAGCAAACAGGAUUAGAUACCCUGGUAGUCCACGCCCUAAACGAUGUCAACUAGUUGUUCGGUGAGGAGACUCAUUGAGUAACGCAGCUAACGCGUGAAGUUGACCGCCUGGGGAGUACGGCCGCAAGGUUAAAACUCAAAGGAAUUGACGGGGACCCGCACAAGCGGUGGAUGAUGUGGAUUAAUUCGAUGCAACGCGAAAAAACCUUACCUAACCCUUGACAUGCCAGGAACUUGCCAGAGAUGGCUUGGUGCUCGAAAGAGAGCCUGGACACAGGUGCUGCAUGGCUGUCGUCAGCUCGUGUCGU
rnacentral:rRNA from 1 species